rnacentral:rRNA from 1 species
GCAGCAGUGGGGAAUUUUGGACAAUGGGCGCAAGCCUGAUCCAGCCAUGCCGCGUGAGUGAAGAAGGCCUUCGGGUUGUAAAGCUCUUUCAGUCGGGAAGAAAAGGCGCCCUCUAACAUAGGGCGUUGCUGACGGUACCGACAGAAGAAGCACCGGCUAACUACGUGCCAGCAGCCGCGGUAAUACGUAGGGUGCGAGCGUUAAUCGGAAUUACUGGGCGUAAAGCGUGCGCAGGCGGUUCGCUAAGACAGGUGUGAAAUCCCCGGGCUUAACCUGGGAACUGCGCUUGUGACUGGCGGGCUAGAGUACGGCAGAGGGGGGUGGAAUUCCACGUGUAGCAGUGAAAUGCGUAGAUAUGUGGAGGAACACCGAUGGCGAAGGCAGCCCCCUGGGCCUGUACUGACGCUCAUGCACGAAAGCGUGGGGAGCAAACAGGAUUAGAUACCCUGGUAGUCCACGCCCUAAACGAUGUCAACUAGUCGUUCGGAGCGGUAACGCACUGAGUGACGCAGCUAACGCGUGAAGUGA